rnacentral:rRNA from 1 species
AUUGAACGCUGGCGGAAUGCUUUACACAUGCAAGUCGAACGGCAGCACGGACUUCGGUCUGGUGGCGAGUGGCGAACGUGUGAGUAAUGUAUCGGCACGUGCUCAGUCGUGGGGGAUAACGUAGUGAAAAUUACGCUAAUCCCGCAUACUAUCUAUGAAUGCAAGCGGGGGAUCGCAAGACCUCGCGCGAUUGGAGCGGCCGAUAUCAGAUUAGCUAGUUGGUGGGGUAAAGGCCCACCAAGCCAACGAUCUGUAGCUGGUCUGAGAGGACGACCAGCCACACUGGAACUGAGAUACGGUCCAGACUCCUACGAGAGGCAGCAGUGGGGAAUUUUGGACAAUGGGCGAAAGCCUGAUCCAGCCAUUCCGCGUGCAGGAUGAAGGCCCUCGGGUUGUAAACUGCUUUUGUACAGAACGAAAAGGUUUCGACUAAUACUAGGAGCUCAUGACGGUACUGUAAAAAUAAGCACCGGCUAACUACGUGCCAGCAGCCGCAGUAA